UUUAAAAAAGGUUGGAAUAUUAGCGCGGGUGUGCUUCGCCACGGGCGGCAAUGCCGCCGCCGGCACCACCGGAGAAUCCAAAGUCAACACGGCGGAAGCCAUUGCUUCGCUGCUAAACAAAGGGGGAAGUCGUCGCCUCCGAUGCGUGCGCCCACGGCCAGAUCCACCAACCACCACUCGCUGCUUCCGUUCGCCGACGCCACCAACAACCUGCCGCUCAUGCCGUCCUCCUCCGCCGCGCCGGCGACGCACCGCCUGCGCCUCUGGUGGCGCCGCCUCGGCCGCCGCGGCGCCACAGCAGCGUCCGUCGCCGCGCUGCUCGCCGCCGCCUUCUUCUUCCUGGCCCUCUCCCCCGACGCUUCCGCUCCGGCCACCUCAGCCCCGUCCUACGGCCACCGCCUCCCCGCGCUCGUGGACCUCACCCUCGUCGACGGCGCCAAGGAAAAGGGCGCCGUGUGUCUCGACGGGACUCCACCUGGGUACCACUGGCUGCCGGGGUUCGGGGAGGGUUCCGACAAAUGGCUCCUCCACUUGGAGGGUGGAAGCUGGUGCAGGAAUCUGACCGUGUGUGGUCAGCGCAAGAAAACAAAUCUUGGUUCCUCUGACUACAUGGAAAGGCGGGCUGAGUUCGUCGGCAUUCUGAGCGACGACGAGUUGCAGAAUCCAGAUUUUUACAAUUGGAAUAAAGUUAAGGUAAGGUAUUGUGAUGGCGCGUCAUUUUCGGGAAACGUCGAAGAUGAAUUUCAGGAUGGCACCAGUUUCUACUUCAGAGGACAGCGUAUCUGGGAAGCAGUCAUGCGUGAACUGUUAUCCAAGGGUCUAUCCCGUGCUAAAGAGGCUUUUCUUACGGGCUGCUCGGCUGGUGGUCUAUUCACUUACAUUCACUGUGAUGACUUCCGUGCACUUGUACCAAAGGCGUCCACUGUUAAGUGUCUAGCCGAUGGUGGUUUUUUUCUUGACGUAGAAGACAUAUCUGGGAGAAGGUAUAUGCGCAGCUUCUAUAAUGACGUUGCUCGUCUCCAGGAUGUGCGGAAAAACCUUAUUCGUUGCAGUUCAGAUAUGGAGCCAGGGCAGUGCUUUUUUCCACGGGAAGUUGCAAAAGGCAUCAGCACCCCAAUGUUUAUUCUCAAUCCAGCAUAUGAUGUUUGGCAGGUUGAACAUGUCUUGUCUCCAGAAGGGUCCGACCCUGAACGUUUGUGGGAAAAUUGCAGACUGGAUAUUACUAAAUGUGAUGCAAAACAGCUUGAAACUCUCCAAGGCUUCAGGAGAGAAUUGCUUGAUGCUAUAAGUGAUUUUAAGAAGAAAAAGGACUGGGGCAUGUUCAUUGACUCAUGCUAUAUACACUGUCAGUCAAUGAACCCCUUGACUUGGCACUCUCCAUCUGCCCCUAGAAUCAAUAACAAGACCAUUGCUGAAUCGGUGGGAGACUGGUUUUUCAACCGGCGAGAGGUGAAGGAAAUCGACUGUGAAUAUCCCUGCAACCCAACAUGCCACAACACGGUUCUCAGUCGACCGUACAAGGAAGCAUGAUGACGUUUUCGCUGUAUCAUUUUGGUGACUUCCAGCACACUUUGCACCUCGUGUGGUUACCAAUAGGCGAUAGUUGAUUUUUUUUUUCUGAGGGAACACAGUGAGCUUGGAGUUGAUUCACACAUGUACUUGACCGCUGUUGAAAUAUAGAAACCGCAGAUUUGCAUCAGAGAAACACCAGAUAUCGGGGAAGAGGCUGACGAGGCAAUACCUGUACUACACCUAUGGAAGUGUUGGUUGAUGUCGUCCAAUGUCAACCUUUCUGCAGCCAAAGCCUGAUUUUUCUCCUUGGAACACGGUAAGCUCUUCGCCGGUCUAGGCACGGCCAUUAACCACCAUGUCCGGUCCCCUUGAAUAAUCAAACUCUAUUGCCCCAACUACCAUUAGUAGCAGUUGCUAUCUUGGAUGAUGUGGUUAAUUCGUAAUAAAA